rnacentral:rRNA from 1 species
GACGAACGCUGGCGGCGUGCUUAACACAUGCAAGUCGAACGAGACGAUUGAAAGCUUGCUUUCGAAAGUCGAGUGGCAAACGGGUGAGUAACGCGUAGACAACCUGCCUUUGAGAUGGGGACAACAGUUCGAAAGGACUGCUAAUACCGAAUGUUGUAUAUUUUCCACAUGGAAGAUAUAUUAAAGAUGGCCUCUAUUUAUAAGCUAUCGCUCAAAGAUGGGUCUGCGUCUGAUUAGCUAGUUGGUGGGGUAACGGCAUACCAAGGCGACGAUCAGGAGCCGGUCGGAGAGGAUGAACGGCGACAUUGGGACUGAGACACGGCCCAGACUCCUACGGGAGGCAGCAGUGGGGAAUCUUCCACAAUGGACGAAAGUCUGAUUGAGCAACGCCGCGUGAGUGAAGAAGGGUUUCGGCUCGGAAAGCUCUGUUGUCGGGGACGAAUGUGCAGUAUUUGAAUAAAGUACUGUAAUGACGGUACCUGACGAGGAAGCCACGGCUAACUACGUGCCAGCCGCCGCGGUAA